CGACCCUCAAGCCCUGGCGGCUUGGUGUUGGGGCGCCCGCGCCAGCGCGCGGGGCCCUCAAGUUCAUCGGCGGGCUCGUCGGACACUGAGCGCAGUAGUUUAUUCUUCGCUCGGCCUGUCCCGGCGCUGCUUCCCGGCCGCAAAACACCCAAAUUACCACAA
rnacentral:misc_RNA from 1 species